UGCCAGCAGCCGCGGUAAUACGUAGGGUCCAAGCGUUAAUCGGAAUUACUGGGCGUAAAGCGUGCGCAGGCGGUUGUGCAAGACCGAUGUGAAAUCCCCGGGCUUAACCUGGGAAUUGCAUUGGUGACUGCACGGCUAGAGUGUGUCAGAGGGGGGUAGAAUUCCACGUGUAGCAGUGAAAUGCGUAGAGAUGUGGAGGAAUACCGAUGGCGAAGGCAGCCCCCUGGGAUAACACUGACGCUCAUGCACGAAAGCGUGGGGAGCAAACAGGAUUAGAUA
rnacentral:rRNA from 1 species